AUAGCCGCGCUACUUUGUCUCUAUUCCUCUGCUCGGAAUAGCAGAGGGGCGGGGCACACGCAGCGCAGCAAAGGAGAGACAGUUACUGUACGUGCAAUAAAAGCUUCACGUGUAAAAAGCCAAUAACAAAAAGCUUUCAUAAGAUAAGCAGCUUUGCACACAAGCAAAUGAAGAGCGAGUCUGUUGCAUCAGCUACACUGACUUGCAUGCAUGGCAGGAAAGUUGCCACUGACAUAUUGUUUGUAAUAAUCGUAAUACUGCAAAUGCAAAGGCUUUCAUCAGUGGGCCACAGGCUCAAUCACCAUUGUGUUACCUCAUUCAGAGAUAGAUAGUGACUUAACAGAUAUUUAUUUAAAUGAAAUCUUUGAGAUUAUAACUUUAAUGAAGUUAAUUAAGUUAAAGUGUGAGCAGGGGGGUCACUGGUCCAGAAAAGUGCAAAGCAUUGCAAGAGAUCACCAGUGCGAUUAGUGCUGUAUGUGCAGAAGAAAGAACUCUUAGUGAAAUUUCUUUAAAAGAUGGUUUGAUCUGAAAAUGGACACCAAAAAACAGCUGUCUGCUGCCAAGCAUACUAUUACAGCCACAGGAGGGGGCCAGGAAACUGUCAAAACAACAUACAUGGAUGAGCCAUCAUUGGAGAGGUUUCUCUGUUGGGGUGCAGUCUGAUAUUCCAUUGGACAGUGACCUACCACAGCCAGGAAAUAUCCUGUCAGCACCAGACAGCAUGCCCCAGGAUCACUAGCAAGAUCUGAAGAAAAUAAUGCAUCUGGCUCCAGUGUGCCAUCCAUCUCUCAGAGAUGGACCACCAAGACGAUCCACCUCAACAGACAUCAUCUCAGAGUCGGUGAUACUAAAAUUCAAGAGCAGAUAUUAGAGACUCUUCACCAUAUGUCUUCCACUUUUUCACAAAUUAAUGACACUCUUAAAGAAAUAAAUGAAACUUUAAAAACCA